rnacentral:rRNA from 1 species
GACGAACGCUGGCGGCGUGCUUAACACAUGCAAGUCGAACGGAAAGGCCCUGCUUUUGUGGGGUGCUCGAGUGGCGAACGGGUGAGUAACACGUGAGUAACCUGCCCUUGACUUUGGGAUAACUUCAGGAAACUGGGGCUAAUACCGGAUAGGAGCUCCUGCUGCAUGGUGGGGGUUGGAAAGUUUCGGCGGUUGGGGAUGGACUCGCGGGUUAUCAGCUUGUGGGUGGGGUAGUGGCUUACCAAGGCUUUGACGGGUAGCCGGCCUGAGAGGGUGACCGGCCACAUUGGGACUGAGAUACGGACCAGACUCCUACGGGAGGCAGCAGUGGGGAAUAUUGCACAAUGGGCGGAAGCCUGAUGCAGCAACGCCGCGCGCGGGAUGACGGCCUUCGGGUUGUAAACCGCUUUCGCCUGUGACGAAGCGUGAGUGACGGUAAUGGGUAAAGAAGCACCGGCUAACUACGUG